GACAGCACACAAGGCGAACGCGUCCUUGGACGAGGCAGCUGCCAAGUGGUAGCGCUGCCACGUGCGCUUGCGUCGGCACACUACACGUUCUGACAAGACAAAGUGGCACUCAUGAAUGUCUUAUUGACGUCGCUGCGGUACCAAAUGUCAACUCAUUUAUGGGGCACAUCGAGCGAAACGCAGUGACAUAUUAAGGAAGACCAGUUUAACUUCAACGCGGAAAGGCCCGCAUGUCACAGAGGUCCCCUCGCCAGACCUUGGGCGGGGAAGACGACGCGGGCAGGGCACGUGGCCAAGGCGCGGCCGCCUAUAAAAGGACGCGACCAGCGGUUGUUUGGCGCUUAACUGCAGUCGCUGACCAGAAGGACCAGAGACAACGUUCCAGGCCGCCAUGAAAUUCUUCCUGCUCAUCGCCAUCCUAGUUGUGGGCCUGCUGUGCGUCCAGGCGCAGUAUGGGCGCGGCUACGGAGGAGGACGCGGCUACGGAGGAGGGCGCGGCUACGGAGGAGGACGCGGCUACGGAGGAGGGCGCGGCUACGGAGGAGGAUUCGGCCGUGGUUACGGAGGCGGCUAUGGACGUGGAUAGGGACGCUGAUUCCACGGGUGACCACCGAAUUCGACUGCGCACAUUGGAAAGGCAUUGGUGACUGUGGAUAACGACAAGGCUGCGCACCUCAUGGAUCUGAAAGUUUCGAACAAAGGAUAUUCGACAUUCAUCUGGGUGUACGUUCCAAUACAAAGCCCAUAAUAAAUGAGUACGCAGACAAAA